CUUGUAAAGCCUGUACAGGUCCAGCACCUGUUUCGCCAUGAUGGGAAUGCGGUUCACAGGAGUUCCUGCACACGCAAAGGAGCGGAUGUUUUCUCUUGCACAGACUUCUGGGAAGUAACCAGUUCAUGGACUGGAAGCUGACAGACCGAGCUUGGAGUCUGACAGAGAAACGAGAUCCCACUGGGAACACCGGGUGGUGUUUUUUCUCCAUGCUGGAUGAAACAGCUUCAGCAGACACAGAGCUUGAUCCAUUGGAGUCGGGCAUAGCAUGUUCGGAGUCCUGGAACGUGGGAAUCUUGGGCUGAAUCAAGGAUUCAAACGCUGAUGGAGUUUUCAGGAGUUAAACCACCAAAAACAGCAUUUCCCCUUGUGGGGACCAGGCCCAGUUCCCGGAACAGCGAGUCCCCACAACGCUGUUGUGCAGUAUGUCAGGAAGAUGGUCCCCACAAGGUAUUAUAAACAAACACACAC